AUUGAACGCUGGCGGCAGGCUUAACACAUGCAAGUCGAACGAGUGGCGGACGGGUGAGUAAUGCUUGGGAAUCUGGCUUAUGGAGGGGGAUAACUGUCAGAAAGGACAGCUAAUACCGCAUAUUAUUCGAGCGGCCGAGGUCGGAUUAGCUGGUUGGCGGGGUAAAGGCCCACCAAGGCGACGAUCAGUAGCGGGUCUGAGAGGAUGAUCAGCCACACUGGGACUGAGACACGGCCCAGACUCCUACGGGAGGCAGCAGUGGGGAAUUUUGGACAAUGGGCGCAAGCCUGAUCCAGCCAUGCCGCGUGUAUGAAGAAGGCCUUCGGGUUGUAAAGGACUUUUGUCAGGGAAGCGGUACCUGAAGAAUAAGCACCGGCUAACUACGUGCCAGCCGCCGCGGUAAUAC
rnacentral:rRNA from 1 species